UACGUAGGGGGCGAGCGUUGUCCGGAUUUAUUGGGCGUAAAGCGCGCGCAGGCGGUUCGUUAAGUCCGAUGUGAAAGCUCCCGGCUCAACUGGGAGAGGUCUUCGGAUACUGGCGAACUCGAGGGAGGCAGAGGAAGGUGGAAUUCCGGGUGUAGUGGUGAAAUGCGUAGAGAUCCGGAGGAACACCAGUGGCGAAGGCGGCCUUCUGGGCCUUUCCCGACGCUGAGGCGCGAAAGCGUGGGGAGCGAACCGG
rnacentral:rRNA from 1 species